GAUGAACGCUGGCGGCGUGCCUAAUACAUGCAAGUCGAGCGAACAGACGAGGAGCUUGCUCCUCUGACGUUAGCGGCGGACGGGUGAGUAACACGUGGAUAACCUACCUAUAAGACUGGGAUAACUUCGGGAAACCGGAGCUAAUACCGGAUAAUAUAUUGAACCGCAUGGUUCAAUAGUGAAAGACGGUUUUGCUGUCACUUAUAGAUGGAUCCGCGCCGCAUUAGCUAGUUGGUAAGGUAACGGCUUACCAAGGCGACGAUGCGUAGCCGACCUGAGAGGGUGAUCGGCCACACUGGAACUGAGACACGGUCCAGACUCCUACGGGAGGCAGCAGUAGGGAAUCUUCCGCAAUGGGCGAAAGCCUGACGGAGCAACGCCGCGUGAGUGAUGAAGGUCUGCGGAUCGUAAAACUCUGUUAUUAGGGAAGAACAAAUGUGUAAGUAACUAUGCACGUCUUGACGGGACCUAAUCAGAAAGCCACGGCUAACUACG
rnacentral:rRNA from 1 species